AUGAACGCUGGCGGCGUGCCUAAUACAUGCAAGUCGAGCGAACAGACGAGGAGCUUGCUCCUCUGACGUUAGCGGCGGACGGGUGAGUAACACGUGGAUAACCUACCUAUAAGACUGGGAUAACUUCGGGAAACCGGAGCUAAUACCGGAUAAUAUAUUGAACCGCAUGGUUUAAUAGUGAAAGACGGUUUUGCUGUCACUUAUAGAUGGAUCCGCGCCGCAUUAGCUAGUUGGUAAGGUAACGGCUUACCAAGGCGACGAUGCGUAGCCGACCUGAGAGGGUGAUCGGCCACACUGGAACUGAGACACGGUCCAGACUCCUACGGGAGGCAGCAGUAGGGAAUCUUCCGCAAUGGGCGAAAGCCUGACGGAGCAACGCCGCGUUAGUGAUGAAGGUCUUCGGAUCGUAAAACUCUGUUAUUAGGGAAGAACAAAUGUGUAAGUAACUAUGCACGUCUUGACGGUACCUAAUCAGAAAGCCACGGCUAACUACGUG
rnacentral:rRNA from 1 species